AGUCUGACGGGGUUUGUCGGUGUGUGUGGUUCUCAGUGCGCGUGUCAAUGAACUGUUGCUUGUCUGUUGCCAGUUCAACGCUACGAAUUGUUUCGAGUUAUUCUUCUUCGUCUGCCAAAGACUAACUUACUUGGAUCACAAACCUUGAAAACUGAAACUUUAGCUACAGACUGGUGCCGCAAUGAAGAAAAUUAUUUGGUGAAAUUGCAUCAAAUUAGUGCGCGUUAGUGUGUGAGUGUCUGCGCAUGCGUGAGUUGUGCCAAGAUGCGUUGCUUCUGCACAAAGAUCAGGACGCACCAUUGCAAGGGUGGUUCUGCUAGAUGAACAGGAACUCAUACAGGAAAUACAGGACACUAGUCGAGGCCAAGAAGUACUAGACACUGUAUACCGACACCUCAAUCUUCUAGAAACUUCUUACUUUGGCCUACGCUACAUAGAUACCUCAAACCAAACGCAUUGGCUGGAUACCACCAAAAAAGUUGUGAAACAAUUAAAAGGGAAAGAAACAUUCACGUUAUAUUUUGGAGUGAAGUUUUAUGCUGCCGAUCCUUGCAAACUUUUAGAAGAGAUAACUCGAUACCAAUUUUUUCUACAAGUGAAGCAGGAUAUCCUUCAGGGACGUCUCCCGGUGCCUUUUGACUUAGCUGCCGAGCUCGGUGCCUAUGUUGUUCAAUCUGAACUUGGUGACUAUGAUCCUAGACGACAUUCCCCUGGUUAUGUAUCGGAGUUCAGGUUCCUCUCUAACCAGAGUGUCGAGUUGGAAGGAAAGAUCGCCGAACAACAUAAAGACAUGCAGGGACAAUUACCAUCAGUAGCUGAACUAAACUACCUGGAUAAGGUGAAAUGGCUUGAAAUGUAUGGAGUAGAUCUUCAUCCUGUACUGGGUGAAGAUAACGUGGAAUACUUCCUUGGAUUGACGCCCACCGGAGUUAUAGUUUUGAGAAAUAAGAAUAAAGUGGCUAACUAUUUUUGGCCUAGAAUAACAAAGAUUUAUUUUAAGGGUAGAUACUUCAUGCUACGCGUCUGUGAUAAAAAUAAUGAGGAAAACACAUACGGCUUUGAGACACCUUCAAAGCCAGCCUGCAAGCAUUUAUACAAAUGUUGUGUUGAGCACCACGCGUUCUUCAGACUUGUGCAGGUCUCUCCCAAUCCACCCGACGUUAUAGGCACCCGUUUCAGUAGUGGUCGAGCGGAGAAGAUAUCUCAACGUGAGGCACAAAUGCGACUGCGCAGUCCGCCCCAAUUCACCAGAACGCCAAGUAGACGAUAUCAGAGGCGAAUUGUUGAAGGUGCACAAGACAUUCCCAAAGUAGACGAAAUGCCAAAGUCUAACAAAGAGAACAUUCCUGUUCAUGAAAUGAAGCACAUCUCAGUGCCUCAACCAGUGCAAUCGGUGGCCAGCCUGUACAGAGGCGCGCCCGUAAUGCCCUCUUCGCGCGGCUGCGACUCGCCACGCAGCACCCGUUCGGCCCCCUGGGGGCCAAUGGCCCCUCCGCCGUCGCGGGGCCUCUACUCGCUUGGCGGGGGCGCGCCCAGCCCCCGAUCGGUGCGGUCCCAGCCGCACUCGCAUCAGCGCAAGCAGGCCAGGCGGUCGUCCUCCGUCGAGAGUCACAGCAGCAACGACUCCAGGUCGUGUCGCAGACACAGACACAGGAGCAGACGAGGCUCGGACAAUGAAAGCGAGUUGUCGCGCUGCUCUGGCAAGUCACGGCGUCACCGACAUCGCAGUCGGCGAUCAUCGGGCAGCGAGCAUGAGUCCAGGCGACAUUCCUCCUCCAAACAUAGGUACGAACUGGUAGAAUCAGAAUCACAGUGGAAAGAGGUUCAGCGUAAGCAGGCCGAGGGCAGUAGUGGAGUACAUCACGCCAAUGUCAUAAGCAGCAGUGGAGGAGGAGGAGGAGGAGGAGGAGGAGGAGGAGGAGGAGGAGGUGGUGGAGGAGGAAGGCCUAGAUCGGGGUACAUGAACAGUGGUAUGGAGACAGAGAGUGAGCACUCGUAUCAUCAUAGGCGCAAACAUCGCAAGCACAGAUCCCGUUCGCGGUCACCUUCGGACAAACCGCGCCUGCCCGAAGAGCUGAAACAACACCUGGAGUUCCAACUGGUGGAGACGGCCGGCAUGAGUGAGUCCCAGUUGCGAGAGAUCCCCUACAAAGUGGUCGAGACUACAUCAGCCAAGGCCGCUGUCAAAGUGCGACUGUCUCCCACCAACAAGCGCAGAACACAUUCCAGUAGGAGAAUCAACAGUGGUACAUUGAAAGAAGAAGAACUCCCCAGUACCGGUGACAGUCCCCCGCCACCCUACUCAGAAUCACCGGCAACCAAUCAGAACGCUCCAAACGAAGUCACCAACUCUGAUCUGACCAAUAAGAACGCCGCUAACAAUAACAACAGUCACCAUCAGCUUCCCAGAAACGGCACUCCUGCUUUGACGCCGCAAAGCGUGGAGUCGUCGGCCCAAAACACGCGAUCGCUUUGCUCCGCUCUGUAUGGAAACCCGACAACAUUGCUCGGACAAUCCACACAUCACAACAUCAACAGACGAAACGACAAUUCCAACUGGAUCUCACAAGACCAGACGAGAGUUGUAUCCCAUCAUAACUCACAGCCGAGCAAUUCAACGGGAGGCAGUUUAUGGAAGCAAGACUUGCCGCCUAGAAAUAUUCCAUUCGGCUCCAUGCGACAAUCUCUGUCUAAUUCAAGCAACCACAAACCCUGGGUCGGCCCCGAAGUGAGAGGCACAGUGGGUCUAGCCUGGAAAACCCCCGACAACCAAUUUCCCCCAAACUUUCCCGCGUUACCAGAAACCUCCCUAAGUCGCAGACCCUCUCAGGAAGGGCUCCUCAACUAUACCUCUGCCAAACCACCACGUCCCAACAUGAACACCUCCCAAGAGUAUCUAGCCAGUUCCAACGGAGGUUUGAAUUACGCGGGGAUUUCAAGUAAUCUGAGGACUUCAAGGUCAUCAAUAAUUGACCAAGCUAACGGUAACAUAACCUACAACAGUCCCUCGAGACAGAGUUCGUUCACACAGAGCAGUAGCUUUGUAGAUCUGAAUCGAAGUAGUGGUGGGGAUAGUAGUUUGAGGCAAGUUAUGAAUGGCAGCAGUGAUCUGAAUGGGAAACCACGUGUUACUAGUAGCAGCAGUAGUAGUUUACAAUCUACUAGUAACCUAACGAAUACUUCAAAGAGCCGGAGUAACCUGUCGGUGGACCAAAAUGGCGGACCUACGCACCAAAAUGGCGGGAUGAAAGUGAACAGUCAGAGUCAGCAACAGCUGAUCGCUAGUGCGGAUGAUUUGAGUAAUGGGGUGAAAUGGGGGUUGGACGUGGUUGGUGGCGGUGGUCAGCUGCAGCAGGAUCAAGUCAACAAGAAUUGGGGUCCGGGGGUGUUCUAUCAGGGCAAGGCAGCAACUGAUAAUACGACUGGACUUGGACGCUACUACCGUCGACUGACAGUUGAUAGGGAGAUGAUAGCUGAGAGACAUGAUUUUGAGGAAACUUUCUUGACUGACUCAAAUGACGAGACUUUUGUUUAGUGACUGAUGGCGACUGAAGCGUUGACAGUGACUAGUCUGACAGCAUGACUUAUUUUAUUGACUUGACCUCAACCAGCGCACAGAAGAAUGAAGUUAACAACAAUCCAAUGAUUGUCCACGAAAUGAGCACCGAAUUGUAACAAACUCUGUGUAACAACGCUGUUUAACAUUGUAAUACUACACUCUCGUAACAAAUAACUGUAACAACACAGAGUGCAUUUGUUACACUACAUUGCUGUAUCAGAUAAAAAUAGUGUAACAUUAGAUUGUUAUAACAGACGAGUGUAACAAUAUUUACACUGAGUUACAAAUUUAAUACCUGACUGAUAUCCUAUUCAAGAAAAAAAAUAUUAAAUUCAACCUCAGGUCCCCUAGUUUAUAAUUAAUCGGCAUUAUUAUGUAAUUAUUGUCAUAGAUAGUACCUGUUAAUUUUCGAUUUCCAUAAUUGACCAGUAACACAAUCAAAAUAAUUUUAGCCUACUGUAUUAUAUACAUAUAUAUUUAUGAACCUUAUAUUGGUUAAUCUUUGAAAAACCUUUUGUAAUAAGUAUAAGUUAUAUUGUAGUACCUAAUUCAUAAUAUGUGACCAUUAGUUGGAUACAGAAUUUUGUUCAUAUAAUAGGCCUAUUUAUGUGUAUCUUGUAUCAUUAAUUUAUUCAUUUUAAUAUCAAUUUAUGUAAGUAUGUGUCAUAUUGAAGCUUUUGAUCUCAUUAGUAAUAUAAUGAUUGGGUGAGAAUGAGAGUAAUAAGUUUAUGUGUGCAUAAAUUAUGUAAGAAUGAUGUAAUGGAAGUACCGUAUUUAAUAUGAGAUAAUAAUAUUUAAUUUAAAUCAGAUGAUCCCAUAGUAUUUAUUGAUGUUUACUUUCAUUUUUAUCUAAUUAGUAGGGUAUGGAACCCACCUAAGAUAUUGAUUCGGUGAUCAAAACAUGAUGAGUGUAGGUACUUCAUUAAGGGUCUUGUAUCCUAGAGAAGCCAAGAAAUUAUAUUUUGAUUACUAUAAUUUAUGAAACCAGAAGAUGAUAUUUUAGAAGCUUCAAAAUGUGUUAUAUGUUGGAUGAAGUUUUAGAUUUUCUAAAUUAUCAGUGAAUUGUCUUCUUAUUCCUCUGAACUACCAUUCAAUUUCAUCAUUGAUAUGAAUGAGCUGAUUCCUUUUCAAAAUGACUGUUUCCAUUCCAAGGAUGGAGGAUAAAUUUGCUAGAAUAUUUUCUGAAAAAAUACUUCAAUAGAGCUGCUUUGACUGUUCAAUCAUUAUAGAUGAAAUCACUGGUACCCUCUUCAUAUUUUUUAUUUAAACACAACUGGCUCCAGCUUUCAUUUGAUUUAAUUAUUUAUUAUUUUACAAAGGCGACCUUCUAGAAGUAUUUUAAGCCUAGGUGAUGAUGAUGGGAUGAAUGAUUGAUGAUGCCAUUUUCAAGUGGCAAAAUGAAUUUUAUUUUAUAAGUAUAUAAUAAAUAAUAUCUGAAACUAUAUUUGUGUUUAAAUAAAAAUAUAGAGAGGGGAGUAGUGAUUUCUAUGAUAAUUGCUGGGAUAUGAUUGGAUUAAAUUAGAAAACCAGUGGACCCACUGUAUCUCGUCUCAUAGAAGAAAAAACAAUCUUAUUACAGAUGCAAGAAAAGUGAUAGGGCCUCGAUAAAAAAAUCAAAUGCUUCAUCCAAUAAAUAGAUGAAAAAAAUUCUAUUGAAAGUUCCAUGAACAGUGAAUAAAAGAAAAUCUAACUUUAAAAAAUUUAAUCUAUACUUGUAUUUUAGUAUUUAUCAUUGAACUCCAUAAUGUAGCCUAUAAUUUAAUGAUAAUUUAUUGGGUUUUCUCGACUUUGAGGGACUCCUUAACACACACGUAUUUGAAGUUCAUUGAUAUUUCAAUUAUUGAUAGAAUAAUAAGUUUGUUCCUAUCCAAUACCAAACCAAUAAAAAAGUGAGAACCUUAUAAAUGUAGAUGAUGUUUCCUUUACGGAAGAAUAGCCUAAAAUUCUGUAAGAGUUAAUAGAUUACAAUUUUCCAAUAACGAAUGAAAUUGGCUGUAUUGAUAUAUUGAGGAAAAUUGAUCACUUUUACUAAGUACUGUUGCAUGUCAUUACCUAUCAAUUUUAUGAAUACCUACUCAUGAAAUAAAGUUUUGUACUUUUGACUA